CACAUGGGAGCAUGAGUGAAAUGAACCCUUUUCUCCAAGUUGCCUUUGGUUGUGGUGUUUCCUCACAGCAAUAGCAGCCCGACUAAGUACAUACAGUGUCACCAGAAAAGAUCCUAGGAACUGGCACUGGGAUGGCAGAGGGUCCCCAGACUCAGCUCCUCCUCCGAACAUCUGGGUUUUUGUCUAGGUCUCCGGGAUGCAGCUGACAAAGGUUCCCUGUGUACGUUGGAAGCCUCCUGAGGAGACGCGUGCCUCCCCACUGACGGGGUCCUACCUCCCCACUGACGGGGUCCUACCUGGCGAGUCCGUGGUUUGGUCACCUUCACCAUGACUUCUUUCUGGAGGUCGUAGCCCCUGGAAUCUGACGAUGCUAAGUUCUUCACCUUCAAUUCCAUUUUCAGCCCCUGGCAAAGAGACAGCUCACUCAGCCAUCCUCUAGUUCAUGCUCCUCUUGAGGUCUCUUCCUCUCUCUUCCCAGCCCCAGGUUUGCUAAGGAACACAGCCUGGCUCCUCUUGUUCCUUGGAGUUCCUGCAGAGCAUCAACAUUUCCCAGUGGUACCCUGGCACUAACAUUUGUGCUUCCUAAGUUGGCUAAUUCCCUCCAAAGCUCUUGUGUGGGAUCAUGCGUCACCAAGUCCCCUCUGUGGCAUAUCAGCCACUGAGGUGCUGGAGAGGCACUGGGGACAUCGGCGGUGUCCCCAGUAAGUGUUGGUCUGGGAUGCUGGUGGCUCUGAUAAGUAAGCUGGCUGAGAAGGCCUGAGGGUUAGUCUAGUUCUGUCACUAGCUCUCAGUGCCAUCAUGGGAAAAGCUCCACCCUUCCCUAGGCCUUUGGGGACCUGAUGUGCCAUCAUCAGGGGGUGAAAGGUCACCUUCUCUAGCUCCUCACUCAUCUGAUUUGCUUCCACUACCAGCGGCAUGAGUUUGAUGUAGUCCUGGAACACAGCUAAGACACUGGGGUCAGCUCGGCCAUCUCCGGGGCUCAUGGUACCUAGUGAGAGUCACGGAGAAAGAGAGUCUGUGGCUUGUUCUAUGAUACUUUCCAGCUGCCACAAAGAACACACACUCAGCUGUUACAAUUGUUCAUCACUACCUUGAAAUCUUGGCUAUCCUUGUCCUUGAUUUCAAGACCCUCAAGUCCAGUGUAGUUCUGGACUGUCCAGGAAGGAGGGUUAAAGUAAGUAGAAGCCAGAGGAGGGGCUGAAUCCUUAGUGGCCCAGAGAGUAACCUGUUCUUACUCCAAGUUGUGUCUGGGUGCUAUGGAGGAAGGGUUGUAGAGACUAUGGGAGGCCCUGAUCCCCUUUCCAGACUUGGAGGAGUACUGCCUUGGGUUGUGACCUGUCUUCUCUUUAGAGACUCCCUGCCCAUGGGACACAUGGCACCAAAGUCUCAGAACUUCCCACCAGGUGCCUUGAGAACCCUCCAUCAAGUGCUUCAACCCAGGGCCUGAGGUUUGAUGAACUUCCUGUCAUCGCUGUCCCCAUUCUGGGAAGGAAUUCUAUACAGUCAGUUAUGAAGAACUCAAUGAAAAGGCUUUAGCCACUGGUGUCCCUUUCUUCCAAGAUGAGCGGAAGGAAACAGGAGGUGUGCACCAUACACUGGACUUCUGUAAGCACUCUUCCCAAGCAUUGGAGGAGUCGAAGGAGGCCUGGGAACUUUAAUAUUGCCCAUCCAGCAGGACCUAACAGCUUGGCUCCCCUAUGACCGGAUGACUUUCCAGAACCUUCCCCUGUGAAACAUGCUACAAGUCUGACAACCCAACACUCGGAGGAGGAGGCAGGGUGAUUUCGUGUUUGAGGCCAACCUGGGCUACAUAGUGAGAUCCUCUCUCAAACAUCUAAAACAUAACAAGACAGACCUCUGGACUGAGAAGUUGGUAUCCUCUGGUUUGGGAUGGGUGAUGUUCUUACCCCAGGCCUUGAAGACAGAUAGUGUUUGUAGCAGCUCGACCAACGUCACAGGAGCCUGGAAAGAGUUGGGACAGUUUAUCUUCAAAUCGUCAGCAUUUGGCCGUGAUGAAGUAAUGUGUUUGAUAAUUUGAAAGUGGCAUUUUUUUCCUUCAAAUAAGAGCAUCCAAGAGGUUUUGUUUUGUUUUCCAAUUGGAGCUGCCAAUCAUAACAUUGCCUGUACAUGAACUUGCUUUUUGCUCUCAUUGUGUUAAGAUCCCUAACUUAAUAAAAGUGCUCUUAGAAGCUC